rnacentral:rRNA from 1 species
CAGCAGCCGCGGGAAUACGUAGGUGGCAAGCGUUAUCCGGAAUUAUUGGGCGUAAAGCGCGCGCAGGCGGAUAGGUCAGUCUGUCUUAAAAGUUCGGGGCUUAACCCCGUGAUGGGAUGGAAACUGCCAAUCUAGAGUAUCGGAGAGGAAAGUGGAAUUCCUAGUGUAGCGGUGAAAUGCGUAGAUAUUAGGAAGAACACCAGUGGCGAAGGCGACUUUCUGGACGAAAACUGACGCUGAGGCGCGAAAGCCAGGGGAGCGAACGGGAUUAGAUACCCGCGUAGUCCCUGUCUCUUAUACA